AUUUACAGUGGCUGUAUCACAGACUAGAGCAGGAGGAGAGGAUAUGAUCUGAUUCUGGACUAAGAAAAGACUUAAAUUAAAUUCUUAAAGCAGGAAAGAUGACACACUGGACAAAACAAGCGACCAUUGUUUUCAUAUAUAUCUGGACUAUUGAAUCACAGGACAGUGUUGAUCAGAACACAAGAGUUCAAACUGCUUAUGAAGGUGAAGCUGUAACUAUCAACUGUAGAUAUAAAACUCAGCUCUCUCCAACACUCAUUUGGUACCAGCAAAAAGUAAAUGGAUUCCCUAAAUACAUGCUGAACAGAGUUGGUAACUUUAGAGAUGAAGACAAAGAGUUCAAGGAGAGAUUUAAUGCAGUUCUUGACAGCUCUUCAAAAUCAGUUCCACUUACAAUCCAGGAUCUGCGUGUGUCUGACUCUGCUGUGUACUACUGCGCUCUGCAGCCCACAGUGACUAAAACACAUUCAACUCUCAUACAAAAACCUUUGCCUUCUCCCCUCUUUACCCCAUCUGCCAGUGUUUGGCCAAAAAGGGAGUCCUGCUCCAAACUCAUUGAACAUUUCCUUUGCACAUUACAGAAAACUGGGAUAACAGGAAAAUGCAAUAGCUGUAUGAAACCAGUAGAGGGUGUUAAACAGUCUAUUAUGGUUUGCUGUAGCUAUAUAAGGCUGGUUUGAAUAUUACUUAAAUAUUUGUUUCAUGCAAUGUUUUCGAUAUUUGUACUUAUUUAUUUAUUG